rnacentral:lncRNA from 1 species
GCCGCCUUGGCCGGCCGGAAGCGGCGUCGCUAGCUGCGUAAGGUGUGUUGCGGGAGGGGGCGCUUGGCGGCCACGAUGCGGCGGGACCACGGAGCUCCGAGCGCAGCUCCGCUGCCGGCGGUGGGACCCUGGACCGAUUGUGAGCCAUGCCUUUAGUGAAGAGGAACAUUGAACCCCUGCACUUGUGCCAGGGUGCUCUGCUGGAAGGAAUUACCAGUGAACUUGAAUAUGUAACCAACAGUAAUCUUGCUGCAAUCAUAUGCCAGCUAAGCAGUCUGAGCAAACAUGUUGAAGACAUAUUUGGUGAGUUGUUUAAUGAGGCUAACAACUUCUACAUCAGAGCAAAUUCUCUUUAAGACAGAACUGAUGGCCUUGCUGUCAACAUUAC